CCCGGAACCUUUCAGUCUACAGGCUGACACUAUAGCCACUGAGCCAAACCAGCUAGGGCAGAUGACCCUAAACUUGGAAAAUGUCAAAUAAAAAGAUGGUGUGAUCAAGAUUUAAAUGAUUUUGACAGAUCAGAAAGCUGAGCUGUAACUGACAAGACGAAAUGGAAACUAUUGCUGUACUUAAGUACAAAAUACGUGAACCUGCAGAUUCAGGAUGAAAGGUGCAUGGCAUUGUCCCAGUUCGUGUGAAAAAGGUUUGCUGCAGAAAUCAGAUGAUGGAACCAUUUUCUUUAAUGCUGUCAAGAAUGGCUUUACAAAGCUAAAAAUGAUGAUGUCCAGAGAAUGCAAAAGUCCCGUGCAAGUUGGUAAUGAAGACACACAAGGGUUGAGCUCCAAAGAGGAACUUAUUGACAGGUUUUUCCAUUUCAUACGAGGACAAAGAACACACUCUAGGAGAGACCUCCUAGGCAAGGCUCAACCCUUUCAGGAAACCCUUAACCCAACUCUGAGUUUGGGUGAAUGAGAUCAGUCCACUUCUGUCUUUCCCUCCCACCCCCGCCCCCAAUAGUACCUGAUGAGUUGGACAAAGCUGUACUCUUUGAAAAAACGGUGUUGGUUAUCAACUUACCACUUCUCAGCUCCAAAUACACCCUUCAAUACAUGCUCUGUGUUCAACAACAGAAUUCCUGUAAGCAUUCUGUCGAGUUGAGCAUGAUGUCAACCAGGCUUUCUCUGUAGAGGGCGCAGGAGGAACACCGAGGAGGAAGAGGCCCUCUUGCCUUUCCUGGAGUCAACCUGUAGGUGUAUACGCUUGGAGGACCUCCCAUAGAGCCUGCCCCCGCCACGGGCCCAGAACGCAGUCCCUCUGUGACGUUACGGCCUCGGCCUGGCAAUCAUGACCUUCUCGACAUGGAAACCAAAGCCCCCGUGUAGCCUGCGUGCUCCGAAGCAUCCUGCCCUGAAUGGACUCUCAGUCCCUGCUCACACCACCACAACCUGGGCUGCAUAUAGGUAAAAGGAAAAUAUAUUUGUUAACCUAUACAUAACGUGUAUACUUUAUAUUAUUGUGUAUAUAUGUUAUACAUAUGUUAUGUGUGUAACUAUAAUAUGUAAUAAAAUUCACAUUUUUAGUCUUUUUCUUCUGAAUCACUUUUCAAUCCAGAGUUUUUAUAUAAACGUUUUUCCAUGUAUAUUGUUAAAUAUAUUUUUAAAAUUGAUUUCAGAGAGGAAGGAAGAGGGAGAGAGAGAGAGAGAGAGAGAGAGAGAAACAUCAAUGAUGAGAGAGAAUUAGCAGUAGGCCCCACUCUGGCGAUCAAGCCUACAACCUGGGCGUGUGCCCUGACCGGGAAUUGAGCCACCUGGCCUUGUCUAACGCUUUUCCAUAUUAUUUGUCCCCUAAGACAUCAAGAAUGUCAUGUAUUCAGGAUCUCUUAGGACAAUAGUACUCCACUAUUAUCUCCAGGAUUUCCUUCAAUGCCAUGACACCCUUUUUGUAAGUUUAAAUGUUGGUACUUCUAGGUAUUACCCAAGGUGUCAAUGAAAGAUCUCAGACAACAGCUAGGACUCAAAUUCCUUCUUCAAAUGCUUCUUAAAUGAUUUGUGAAGAAAUGUUUAAUCCAGCAUUGUGUACCCAGUGCCCAGGCCUGUGAUUGCCCACCAGGUGAUCUUUCUUAAAUAAAUACAUUUA